rnacentral:rRNA from 2 species
GAUGAAGAACGCAGCGAAAUGCGAUAAGUAAUGUGAAUUGCAGAAUUCAGUGAAUCAUCGAAUCUUUGAACGCACCUUGCGCUCCUUGGUAUUCCGAGGAGCAUGCCUGUUUGAGUGUCAUUAAAUUCUCAACCUCACCCGUUUUCUGAACGGUACCCG